GGGAACAUACCCUUUUCUACGGAAUAGCUCUGGGAAACUAGAAUUAAUACCGUAUACGCCCUACGGGGGAAAGAUUUAUCGGGGAAGGAUUGGCCCGCGUUGGAUUAGCUAGUUGGUGGGGUAAAGGCCUACCAAGGCGACGAUCCAUAGCUGGUCUGAGAGGAUGAUCAGCCACAUUGGGACUGAGACACGGCCCAAACUCCUACGGGAGGCAGCAGUGGGGAAUAUUGGACAAUGGGCGCAAGCCUGAUCCAGCCAUGCCGCGUGAGUGAUGAAGGCCUUAGGGUUGUAAAGCUCUUUCACCGAUGAAGAUAAUGACGGUAGUCGGAGAAGAAGCCCCGGCUAACUUCGUGCCAGCAGCCGCGGUAAUACGAAGGGGGCUAGCGUUGUUCGGAAUUACUGGGCGUAAAGCGCACGUAGGCGGAUAUUUAAGUCAGGGGUGAAAUCCCAGAGCUCAACUCUGGAACUGCCUUUGAUACUGGGUAUCUUGAGUAUGGAAGAGGUAAGUGGAAUUGCGAGU
rnacentral:rRNA from 1 species